ACGGCAGAGGUUGCUUAGCGAUAAGUUGGUGUGUAACGUCGGUUCAGACCCGAGUUCGAUCCUCCCCAAAUUCGGUACAGGGGAAACCUCCGUGCGUAUUCAAAUCACGCACAGGCGCUCCGCAGGGACCGCACGGCUCUUCAGUCGUGUCCUUGUCAUCCGUGGCUAACGUCAGAUAAGAGAGCGGUCGUGAAGUGCCGGCAAAGGGGCCGGACUCUGGAUCGAUCCAGAGUUUCAGUUGAGAUGUUGCCCGACAGUCGGCAUUACCUGAUCCCCCGAUCUCAGGUACCGAAAGCCGUGAGGGUAGAUCAUCCGAGCUGAACAUGGAUAGGACACCAGGGGCUUAAUCCACCCCGCUCCCACCGGUGGGCAGGACCGGCAAAUGAUAAGGUGGUUGUGGUGACUUCCCGCCUUCUCUCGAACUGGGUUGAGAGAUGAUCAGCGAAGACGUUGCCCCGUUAAUACAUGCUAGGCCCUAUGGGCCAGCGUUGGGAUUAUUAUUAUUAUUGUUGCACGGCACGUUGGCUGCUGGUCCGCAGGCCAGCGCUGGCGGGGGAACAGUCGUGCUCUCGCGCGCAACAGGGGUCAUACCGUAUAGCAGUUGCACGGCACGUUGGCUGCUGGUCCGCAGGCCUGCGCUGGCGGGGGAACAGUCGUGCUCUCGCGCGCAACAGGGGUCAUACCGUAUAGCAGUUGCACGGCACGUUGGCUGCUGGUCCGCAGGCCGGCGCUGACGGGGGAACAGUAGUGCUCUCGCGCGCAACAGGGGUCAUACUGUAUAGCAGUUGCACGGCACGUUGGCUGCUGGUCCGCAGGCCGGCGCUGGCGGGGGAACAGUCGUGCUCUCGCGCGCAACAGGGGUCAUACUGUAUAGCAGUUGCACGGCACGUUGGCUGCUGGUCCGCAGGCCGGCGCUGGCGGGGGAACAGUCGUGCUCUCGCGCGCAACAGGGGUCAUACUGUAUAGCAGUUGCACGGCACGUUGGCUGAUGGUCCGCAGGCCGGCGCUGGCGGGGGAACAGUCGUGCUCUCGCGCGCAACAGGGGUCAUACUGUAUAGCAGUUGCACGGCACGUUGGCUGCUGGUCCGCAGGCCGGCGCUGGCGGGGGAACAGUCGUGCUCUCGCGCGCAACAGGGGUCAUACCGUAUAGCAGUUGCACGGCACGUUGGCUGCUGGUCCGCAGGCCGGCGCUGGCGGGGGAACAGUCGUGCUCUCGCGCGCAACAGGGGUCAUACCGUAUAGCAGUUGCACGGCACGUUGGCUGCUGGUCCGCAGGCCGGCGCUGGCGGGGGAACAGUCGUGCUCUCGCGCGCAACAGGGGUCAUACUGUAUAGCAGUUGCACGGCACGUUGGCUGCUGGUCCGCAGGCCGGCGCUGGCGGGGGAACAGUCGUGCUCUCGCGCGCAACAGGGGUCAUACUGUAUAGCAGUUGCACGGCACGUUGGCUGCUGGUCCGCAGGCCGGCGCUGGCGGGGGAACAGUCGUGCUCUCGCGCGCAACAGGGGUCAUACUGUAUAGCAGUUGCACGGCACGUUGGCUGCUGGUCCGCAGGCCGGCGCUGGCGGGGGAACAGUCGUGCUCUCGCGCGCAACAGGGGUCAUACUGUAUAGCAGUUGCACGGCACGUUGGCUGCUGGUCCGCAGGCCGGCGCUGACGGGGGAACAGUCGUGCUCUCGCGCGCAACAGGGGUCAUACCGUAUAGCAGUUGCACGGCACGUUGGCGGCUGGUCCGCAGGCCACCGCUGGCGGGGGAACAGUCGUGCUCUCGCGCGCAACAGGGGUCAUACUGUAUAGCAGUUGCACGGCACGUUUGCUGCUGGUCCGCAGGCCGGCGCUGGCGGGGGAACAGUCGUGCUCUCGCGCGCAACAGGGGUCAUACCGUAUAGCAGUUGCACGGCACGUUGGCGGCUGGUCCGCAGGCCGGCGCUGGCGGGGGAACAGUCGUGCUCUCGCGCGCAACAGGGGUCAUACCGUAUAGCAGUUGCACGGCACGUUGGCUGAUGGUCCGCAGGCCUGCGCUGGCGGGGGAACAGUCGUGCUCUCGCGCGCAACAGGGGUCAUACUGUAUAGCAGUUGCACGGCACGUUGGCUGCUGGUCUGCAGGCCGGCGCUGACGGGGGAACAGUCGUGCUCUCGCGCGCAACAGGGGUCAUACUGUAUAGCAGUUGCACGGCACGUUGGCUGCUGGUCCGCAGGCCAGCGCUGGCGUGGGAACAGUCGUGCUCUCGCGCGCAACAGGGGUCAUACUGUAUAGCAGUUGCACGGCACGUUGGCUGCUGGUCCGCAGGCCGGCGCUGGCGGGGGAACAGUCGUGCUCUCGCGCGCAACAGGGGUCAUACCGUAUAGCAGUUGCACGGCACGUUGGCUGCUGGUCCGCAGGCCAGCGCUGGCGGGGGAACAGUCGUGCUCUCGCGCGCAACAGGGGUCAUACCGUAUAGCAGUUGCACGGCACGUUGGCUGCUGGUCCGCAGGCCGGCGCUGACGGGGGAACAGUCGUGCUCUCGCGCGCAACAGGGGUCAUACUGUAUAGCAGUUGCACGGCACGUUGGCUGCUGGUCCGCAGGCCGGCGCUGGCGGGGGAACAGUCGUGCUCUCGCGCGCAACAGGGGUCAUACUGUAUAGCAGUUGCACGGCACGUUGGCUGCUGGUCCGCAGGCCUGCGCUGGCGGGGGAACAGUCGUGCUCUCGCGCGCAACAGGGGUCAUACUGUAUAGCAGUUGCACGGCACGUUGGCUGCUGGUCCGCAGGCCGGCGCUGGCGGGGGAACAGUCGUGCUCUCGCGCGCAACAGGGGUCAUACCGUAUAGCAGUUGCACGACACGUUGGCUGCUGGUUCGCAGGCCGGCGCUGACGGGGGAACAGUCGUGCUCUCGCGCGCAACAGGGGUCAUACCGUAUAGCAGUUACACGACACGUUGGCUGCUGGUCCGCAGGCCGGCGCUGGCGGGGGAACAGUCGUGCUCUCGCGCGCAACAGGGGUCAUACUGUAUAGCAGUUGCACGGCACGUUGGCUGCUGGUCCGCAGGCCGGCGCUGGCGGGGGAACAGUCAUGCUCUCGCGCGCAACAGGGGUCAUACUGUAUAGCAGUUGCACGGCACGUUGGCUGCUGGUCCGCAGGCCGGCGCUGGCGGGGGAACAGUCGUGCUCUCGCGCGCAACAGGGGUCAUACUGUAUAGCAGUUGCACGGCACGUUGGCUGCUGGUCCGCAGGCCGGCGCUGGCGGGGGAACAGUCGUGCUCUCGCGCGCAACAGGGGUCAUACCGUAUAGCAGUUGCACGGCACGUUGGCUGCUGGUCCGCAGGCCGGCGCUGGCGGGGGAACAGUCGUGCUCUCGCGCGCAACAGGGGUCAUACUGUAUAGCAGUUGCACGGCACGUUGGCUGCUGGUCCGCAGGCCGGCGCUGGCGGGGGAACAGUCGUGCUCUCGCGCGCAACAGGGGUCAUACUGUAUAGCAGUUGCACGGCACGUUGGCUGCUGGUCCGCAGGCCGGCGCUGGCGGGGGAACAGUCGUGCUCUCGCGCGCAACAGGGGUCAUACUGUAUAGCAGUUGCACGGCACGUUGGCUGAUGGUCCGCAGGCCGGCGCUGGCGGGGGAACAGUCGUGCUCUCGCGCGCAACAGGGGUCAUACCGUAUAGCAGUUGCACGGCACGUUGGCUGCUGGUCCGCAGGCCGGCGCUGGCGGGGGAACAGUCGUGCUCUCGCGCGCAACAGGGGUCAUACCGUAUAGCAGUUGCACGGCGCGUUUGGCUGCUGGUCCGCAGGCCGGCACUGGCGGGGGAACAGUCGUGCUCUCGCGCGCAACAGGGGUCAUACUGUAUAGCAGUUGCACGGCAUGUUGGCUGAUGGUCCGCAGGCCGGCGCUGGCGGGGGAACAGUCGUGCUCUUGCACGCAACAGGGGUCAUACCGUAUAGCAGUUGCACGGCACGUUGGCUGCUGGUCCGCAGGCCGGCGCUGACGGGGGAACAGUCGUGCUCUCGCGCGCAACAGGGGUCAUACUGUAUAGCAGUUGCACGGCACGUUGGUUGCUGUUCCGCAGGCCGGCGCUGGCGGGGGAACAGUCGUGCUCUCGCGCGCAACAGGGGUCAUACUGUAUAGCAGUUGCACGGCACGUUGGCCGCUGGUCCGCAGGCCGGCGCUGACGGGGGAACCGUCGUGCUCUCGCGCGCAACAGGGGUCAUACUGUAUAGCAGUUGCACGGCACGUAAUCGACCACGGCAGAGGUUGCUUAGCGAUAAGUUGGUGUGUAACGUCGGUUCAGACCCGAGUUCGAUCCUCCCCAAAUUCGGUACAGGGGAAACCUCCGUGCGUAUUCAAAUCACGCACAGGCGCUCCGCAGGGACCGCACGGCUCUUCAGUCGUGUCCUUGUCAUCCGUGGCUAACGUCAGAUAAGAGAGCGGUCGUGAAGUGCCGGCAAAGGGGCCGGACUCUGGAUCGAUCCAGAGUUUCAGUUGAGAUGUUGCCCGACAGUCGGCAUUACCUGAUCCCCCGAUCUCAGGUACCGAAAGCCGUGAGGGUAGAUCAUCCGAGCUGAACAUGGAUAGGACACCAGGGGCUUAAUCCACCCCGCUCCCACCGGUGGGCAGGACCGGCAAAUGAUAAGGUGGUUGUGGUGACUUCCCGCCUUCUCUCGAACUGGGUUGAGAGAUGAUCAGCGAAGGCGUUGCCCCGUUAAUACAUGCUAGGCCCUAUGGGCCAGCGUUGGGAUUAUUAU
rnacentral:lncRNA from 1 species